rnacentral:rRNA from 1 species
UACGUAGGGUGCAAGCGUUGUCCGGAAUUAUUGGGCGUAAAGAGCUCGUAGGCGGUCUGUCGCGUCUGCUGUGAAAACUCAGGGCUUAACCCUGAGCUUGCAGUGGGUACGGGCAGACUAGAGUGCGGUAGGGGAGACUGGAAUUCCUGGUGUAGCGGUGAAAUGCGCAGAUAUCAGGAGGAACACCGGUGGCGAAGGCGGCCCUCUGGACGGUGACUGACGCU